GAGGUUGCAACAAUAAUUACUGGACAAGCCUAGUACUUUUCCAUUUGAUGAGAUUGCAAAUCUGUUAACUUUACAGGGAAAUACUGAGCCAUUAAUCCGUAAUGGCAUGACCCUUAAGUCAUGUUCUCCUAUAGUUGGUGUCGACGUGAUGUCCUUUGUUACAGAAAGAGAAGUCUUGCUAGCUUGGAGGGUGGUACUGAAAGAAAAUCUAGUUCUAACAUUAUUUAGGGAUGAGGUGAGACUUUCCAUUUAUAUUUGUCUAAUGAAACAUGUUAUCAAAUUGAAGAAGUUGACUGUUUUCUUGACUUUAAAAUAUGCAGUAUAUACUUUUGCAUGAGGAAUAUCAGCUCUAUGUUCUACCCAGAAUUUUGGAAUCAAAGAGGAUGGCAAAAUCUGGACGCACCAAGCAAAAAGAAGCAGAUUUGGAAUAUAGUGUUGCAAAGCAGGUUGAAAAAAUGAUUAGUCACAGAAACAUGAGGAAGAACAACAAUCCGGUGGAUCAUGCAAGGAAAGUUCAUCCCAGCUUGUUUCAUUCUCUUUAUCUCAUGCCAACAUUCCUCUACCACCUACCUUAGAGUUGAAGGAUUCUUCAGAAAUGGAUAUGUCUGAUGUUCAAAAGAAUCUCAAAUGUUUGUACGAGUACAAUGUCAUGCUGAGGGAGAAAUUUUUAUCUGUGCAAUCUAUGCUUCAUGAGUUAGCAACAAAGUCCUUGCCUCCUGCAAAUGAUGACAUUCCUAACACCUCAAAGUUUUUCAAGCAAGUCUUCAUGAUUGGGUUGCUUCUAGCUCCUCUGGAUCCACAAGGGAUUGCAUUCUACUUGGAGCUUGUGAAGCACAUGAGACUCUUCCACAAAGUGCUGAAUUUCCUGCAGAUGUGUUUACGUCUUGUCUCACAACACCUAUUAAGAUGGCUUUGAGAUGGAAAGGAAGCUUACAAAAUAUGUGAAAGGGAACUGCUGGAAGCAAGGGGAAAAACGAAUUCUGAAAGGGGCGUGUUGCUACUUCAAUGCUGUAACAUCACCACACAGCAAUUCAAGGGAUCAGGCAGGUGACGUGGCUAGAAGACAGCUGGACUUAGUGAGUGAAAUCAACGCCUAUGUGGCUAGAAUUUUAAUAACUUAAGUCAGCUGGGUGAUGUGGCACUUUGAGGACAAGGUGGGAAUUGACUUUCCUAUUAGGGUAAGGCAAAGUACCCUAAAAAGGAGGGGGCAGCCGCAACAGAAGGGAACGAUUAUUCUGAAAGAAUUUCAUCACCAUUUUGAAGAAAGAAAAGAAGUACAGAGGAGAGCUGAAGAAAACAGAGAGAAAAUACCAAAAAGGGAAGAGGACUACGGCAGACGCCUAGGAGGACUUGAGCUCAUCAAUUCAUUCUACUCUUUCCUUCUUCCUUUUAAUUUUGUAUUAAAUUUUCUCUCCAUUUCAACUGUGAACAACUCUAUGGAUACUCUAUUUGCUACUGGUUUUGUACUUUUCAUUUCAGACAUGAACUAAUAGUCUAAGGAUUUGGGUGGUUAUGAACCCUAUAUUAUGAAUUAAUGUUUUGAUGCAUGGUUAAAGUAAUUGUAUCCUUGU